GUAAUGAAUUGUGGGUAUCUCAUUGAAACUAAUGCUACUAUACUACAGGAAUUGUCAAUAGGAAUUGUACACAAAAAUGGUUACACACGAAGCCUAUGUAUUUUAUGUACACUGCGGCUACAGGAUUAGAGCCGGUUAUAGUCAUCAUCAAUUCUGAGCCUGGAACCAUCAUGGGGAGCCAAUGUACAGACUGAUUGCCUCACUGAAGGUCAAAGGUCACUCCCUCAUCAGGCAAAGGCUUCCUGAUAUAUUCCGGAGUUACCAAGGUUACAUUGAAGUUAGACUGAUCGACCUCAGUACCAGGAUAAACUUGGGCCCAAAUACUUGCCAUUCUGAACUGGGAUUGUAAUGUCUUUAUCAAGGCAAGAUGCCAUUUUUAUACAGAAUUACAUGAACAUGUAAAUCAGUUUGAAAUGUACAUUACAUAGGGGUAGCGUGUGUCACCUAUGAUUUUCUUCAGAUUUUUCUUUUUUCAUCGUUUAUAUCCAAAAGGUUUUUAUAAAAAUUGCUUUAUAUUGUGACAAUUCCAUUAUGCGUGUUACAUGAAACUAAUAUUUAUAUCAUAUUGGAAACAAAGUUUUGCACCGUAGUGAAAUUGAAUUCAGAAUAUAUGGAGUGAUAUCUCUGAGCUUGGAAGGUGCUAAACUCAAAUUGGAUCCUCAUUUGGAAUAUUAUUAACUUUAUUCUCUGGGAUUUGUGAAAGAGAAAGUAGACAUGAUGUGUGAUGUCAUGCCAACAAUAUCGGAGGAUGGCGUAAGUUUGCGGGACUCCACGCUCGGUGACGACGCAAACUUUGAGCAGUUGAUGGUAAACAUGCUCGAGGAACGCGAUCGUUUGAUGGAAACGCUUCGUGAGACGCAGGACUCAUUAGCAAUCACUGAGCAACGCGUAGACGAAGUAGAGAAGGAACGUGAUCUGCUACAGAAACAGAUGUCCUCUAAUCUACCCCGUGUAAGUAUAUCGAUUCAAUAUCUUCAGAAAACAAUUUUUAAAAGCCCCCCCCCCCCCCUCCACUGAUUUGCUGACUUCCUUUUCCCUUUUGGAAAAUUCCAUUUCUCUGCAAUACUUACAGAAAUAUGAUUAAAUCUGUUUGCCUUGUGGAGAUUGUACGUACAUGUAGUGAUUAGUGCAUUAUUACUAGAAAAUAACACCCAUAAACAUAAACAUGUAGAUAUUGCCUGUGUUUAUGCGUUCUGGUUCAUAUGAGUCAAAAAGAGAGUUGUGAUUCUGUGGAAGUUAGUGUAUGGAGGAUUCAAUUUUGUAUGUGUGUCGCAUUAUCCCAGCCUGAAUACGAUUGGAUAUUAAAGAGAGUGUGUCAUGACGAGACCACAUUGUAUGUGUCUUUCCCGUGGGCCUACUUGGGGCCAAUCCGGUAUAAUAUGACUACGGAUGACCGAACUGCAGCAUUCACGUGCGUGCAACAUACGCAAAACCGAAGCGCGAGGAGAAGUUCGGUCUAUUUCGUGAAUGCUAUCGCGCGUUGGCCCAGUUAAUCAAGUCUAAUCGUUUAUGUGCAGUUGUCCAAAAGAAAAUGUACUGUACAGUAGAUGACAUUAACCAGUAUUUCCCAUGAUACACUCCCUUUAAAGAUUAACAAGUUUCAGUUUUGUGACCGAGUCUCUAGUAUGUGUGGGUGUGUAUACAAUGCUAAACUUGAUUCUUCACAGACUUUAUAAUAUCUUAGCAGCGCUAAUCUUUUACUCCAUUGUUCACAUUCAUGGUGUUCAUGACUGACAUGUUUUGUUUCUUAGCAGCCCCUUUCUUCAAAGCUCAUCCUUGGACUGAGUUGAUGUAGCUAAAUGGGCCGUGCAACCAAACUAGAAUACAUUGCUCUUAAAACGAAAAGUCAUGAACAUGUAGACUGUAGCAUGAAUACAUUGUUCUGAAUGUUAAUCAGCUUUAGGUCACUGGAAUUGAAUAGAAGUCUCUUCAAGUCAGGAAACUCGGGAUUAUUAAACUUGAUCUUCUUGGGUCAUCUUUCAUUUAGUUUGUUUUAUAGCAGUUCACUUUAAGUGCGAGAGAAGGGAACCUCUGUACAGUACUUGUAAUUAAAAAAACAUUUUCUGUGGUGAGGGGAGAAGAAAAAAACAAAAAUA
rnacentral:lncRNA from 1 species